CCUGACGCAGCGACGCCGCGUGGGGGAUGACGGCCUUCGGGUUGUAAACCCCUUUCAGCACAGACGAAGCGCAAGUGACGGUAUGUGCAGAAGAAGCACCGGCCAACUACGUGCCAGCAGCCGCGGUAAUACGUAGGGUGCGAGCGUUGUCCGGAAUUACUGGGCGUAAAGAGCUCGUAGGUGGUUUGUCGCGUUGUUCGUGAAAACUCACAGCUUAACUGUGGGCGUGCGGGCGAUACGGGCAGACUGGAGUACUGCAGGGGAGACUGGAAUUCCUGGUGUAGCGGUGGAAUGCGCAGAUAUCAGGAGGAACACCGGUGGCGAAGGCGGGUCUCUGGGCAGUAACUGACGCUGAGGAGCGAAAGCGUGGGGAGCGAACAGGAUUAGAUACCCUGGUAGUCCACGCCGUAAACGGUGGGUACUAGGUGUGGGUUUCCUUCCUUGGGAUCCGUGCCGUAGCUAACGCAUUAAGUACCCCGCCUGGGGAGUACGGCCGCAAGGCUAAAACUCAAAGGAAUUGACGG
rnacentral:rRNA from 1 species